rnacentral:rRNA from 1 species
UACGUAGGGCGCAAGCGUUAUCCGGAAUUACUGGGCGUAAAGCGUGCGCAGGCGGUUUUGUAAGUCAGAUGUGAAAUCCCCGGGCUUAACCUGGGAACUGCGUUUGAAACUACAAGGCUAGAGUGUGGCAGAGGGGGGGUGGAAUUCCACGUGUAGCAGUGAAAUGCGUAGAGAUGUGGAGGAACACCGAUGGCGAAGGCAGCCCCCUGGGUUAACACUGACGCUCAGGCACGAAAGCGUGGGGAGCAAACAGG